rnacentral:rRNA from 1 species
CAGUCGCCGCGGUAAUACAGAGGGUGCGAGCGUUAAUCGGAUUUACUGGGCGUAAAGCGUGCGUAGGCGGCUUCUUAAGUCGGAUGUGAAAUCCCUGAGCUUAACUUAGGAAUUGCAUUCGAUACUGGGAAGCUAGAGUAUGGGAGAGGAUGGUAGAAUUCCAGGUGUAGCGGUGAAAUGCGUAGAGAUCUGGAGGAAUACCGAUGGCGAAGGCAGCCAUCUGGCCUAAUACUGACGCUGAGGUACGAAAGCAUGGGGAGCAAACAGGAUUAGAUACCCGAGUAGUCCCUGUCUCUUAUCC